rnacentral:tRNA from 1 species
GAGGGCACAGCUCAGUGGUAGAGCACGUGUUUCACAUGCACAAGGUCCUGGGUUCAAUCCCAGUACUUCCA